AUUGAAAGUCAUUCCCAGCCACUGGGAGUUUUUUUUUUUCGUCUAAUUUGUAUAAAUACAAAACAGAAUAGGAAAUAUGUGAAAAAAGUUCAAUUGUUUUUUAGCUUUUAGAAAAAAAACCUACAUUAGGACAUUUUUCCACACCAGGUAUGUUGUUGACAAAUGGUGAAAGCGUUAUUUAUUUAAACGGGGGUCAUAUAGCAGAGUUUCUAAUUAACCCUACUUUUCCUGGAGGGGGUUAGUGCAUUUUGUUUGGUUAUAGAAAGUUGAUUUUUUUUGUCAGUAAGAGAAAUGUCCCCUGAGUUAAAAUAAUAGAAGUCUAAUGGGAGUUUGAAAGGGCAAUGAAAGGACCCUCUAGCGAGUGAUCACAGAAAGAGUUUUUAGAAGUUUACUUUGGAAGACCAGGGACAAUGAAAUGAUAAAUAAAACAAGUCCCUUGUUGUUAACCUCUGUUGACAGCUAAUAUGUCAUACUUGGGGCUAUUACCAUCAAUCAGAGAUUAUUCAGAGUUCCAAGACAAAUCUCCUAUUAAGAACAUUUACAUAAAAAGGCUAUUGAGGAAUUGAAUUUUGUACCUUUGCAAUACAUAUUAAAAGAAACAUUUAAAGCGAGAAAGUUAAGUCAGUUGUGUGUUGUUUAAAGGAACACUCCAGUAUGACAGAGUAAAUACAUGUAUUUAUUACACUAGAGUGCUCGGAAGUCUCCUGGGCACCCCCCUUUUACGUAAAUGAAGAGUUCACUUUCUUGUAAUCCAAUGGUUAGACCAGUGAGUGCCAAACUUUUUAGCUUCAAUGCACACUUAAUAAUUCAAUAUUUUUCCAAGACGCUCCAAGUCGAGACAAAAUUAUUGAUUGCAUAUCUGUACAGCGCUAAAGCAUACACUGGCGCUAUUGUAUAAUGCAUAGUGAUGGUGUUUGAUUGAAAGGGUGGCUUGUAUAAACUUUUAGUGUUUUAAAACAGAGGUGUGUUUGUAUAUAAUGUUUGCUUUUGAUUGCAGGGGUGUGUCUGAAUGUAAUGUUCACUUUUAAAUGCCGAUGUACAUUUGUGUGUAGUAUUGGUGUUUGAGUGAAAGGGUGUGUUUGUACAUAAUUUGGGAGUUUAAAUGCAGGGGUGUGUUUGUAUGUAAUAUUUGUGUUAGAUUGCAGGAGUGUGUUUGCAUGUUGUGCUGGUGCUUGCUUGAAUGUAUGCACAUACACUACCACAUACAUACAGUAUCUCACAAAACUAAGUACUCACUUCUGUUGCCAAAGGUUUAGACAUUAAUGAGUGUGUUUUGAGUUAUUUUGAGGGGACAGCAAAUUGACACUGUUAUAUAGG